GAUGAAGAACUUAGCGAAAUGCGAUAAGUAAUGUGAAUUGCAGAAUUCAGUGAAUCAUCGAAUCUUUGAACGCACCUUGCGCCCUUUGGACAUUCCGAAGGGCAUGCCUGUUUGAGUAUCAUGAACACCUCAACUCUCACGGCUUGUCCGUGAUGAGCUUGGACUUUGGGGGUCUUGCCGGCCUGUGGUCGGCUCCUCUCAAAUGGAUCAGCUUGCCAGUGUUUGGUGGCAUCACAGGUGUGAUAACUAUCUGCGCUUGUGGUUUUCCAUCAGAUAACCUUCAGUGAUAUGGAGGUUCGCUGGAGCUCACAAAUGUCUCUCCUUAGUGAGGACAGCUCUUUGAACGUUUGAUCUCAAAUCAGGUAGGACUACCCGCUGAACUUAAGCAUAUCAAUAAGCGGAGGA
rnacentral:misc_RNA from 1 species